rnacentral:rRNA from 1 species
CACACUAUCAUUAACUGAAUCCAUAGGUUAAUGAGGCGAACCGGGGGAACUGAAACAUCUAAGUACCCCGAGGAAAAGAAAUCAACCGAGAUUCCCCCAGUAGCGGCGAGCGAACGGGGAGCAGCCCAGAGCCUGAAUCAGUGUGUGUGUUAGUGGAAGCGUCUGGAAAGGCGCGCGAUACAGGGUGACAGCCCCGUACACAAAAAUGCACAUACUGUGAGCUCGAUGAGUAGGGCGGGACACGUGGUAUCCUGUCUGAAUAUGGGGGGACCAUCCUCCAAGGCUAAAUACUCCUGACUGACCGAUAGUGAACCAGUACCGUGAGGGAAAGGCGAAAAGAACCCCGGCGAGGGGAGUGAAAAAGAACCUGAAACCGUGUACGUACAAGCAGUGGGAGCCUCUUUAUGGGGUGACUGCGUACCUUUUGUAUAAUGGGUCAGCGACUUAUAUUCUGUAGCAAGGUUAACCGAAUAGGGGAGCCGAAGGGAAACCGAGUCUUAACUGGGCGUUAAGUUGCAGGGUAUAGACCCGAAACCCGGUGAUCUAGCCAUGGGCAGGUUGAAGGUUGGGUAACACUAACUGGAGGACCGAACCGACUAAUGUUGAAAAAUUAGCGGAUGACUUGUGGCUGGGGGUGAAAGGCCAAUCAAACCGGGAGAUAGCUGGUUCUCCCCGAAAGCUAUUUAGGUAGCGCCUCGUGAAUUCAUCUCCGGGGGUAGAGCACUGUUUCGGCAAGGGGGUCAUCCCGACUUACCAACCCGAUGCAAACUGCGAAUACCGGAGAAUGUUAUCACGGGAGACACACGGCGGGUGCUAACGUCCGUCGUGAAGAGGGAAACAACCCAGACCGCCAGCUAAGGUCCCAAAGUCAUGGUUAAGUGGGAAACGAUGUGGGAAGGCCCAGACAGCCAGGAUGUUGGCUUAGAAGCAGCCAUCAUUUAAAGAAAGCGUAAUAGCUCACUGGUCGAGUCGGCCUGCGCGGAAGAUGUAACGGGGCUAAACCAUGCACCGAAGCUGCGGCAGCGACACUAUGUGUUGUUGGGUAGGGGAGCGUUCUGUAAGCCUGUGAAGGUGUGCUGUGAGGUAUGCUGGAGGUAUCAGAAGUGCGAAUGCUGACAUAAGUAACGAUAAAGCGGGUGAAAAGCCCGCUCGCCGGAAGACCAAGGGUUCCUGUCCAACGUUAAUCGGGGCAGGGUGAGUCGACCCCUAAGGCGAGGCCGAAAGGCGUAGUCGAUGGGAAACAGGUUAAUAUUCCUGUACUUGGUGUUACUGCGAAGGGGGGACGGAGAAGGCUAUGUUGGCCGGGCGACGGUUGUCCCGGUUUAAGCGUGUAGGCUGGUUUUCCAGGCAAAUCCGGAAAAUCAAGGCUGAGGCGUGAUGACGAGGCACUACGGUGCUGAAGCAACAAAUGCCCUGCUUCCAGGAAAAGCCUCUAAGCAUCAGGUAACAUCAAAUCGUACCCCAAACCGACACAGGUGGUCAGGUAGAGAAUACCAAGGCGCUUGAGAGAACUCGGGUGAAGGAACUAGGCAAAAUGGUGCCGUAACUUCGGGAGAAGGCACGCUGAUAUGUAGGUGAAGUCCCUUGCGGAUGGAGCUGAAAUCAGUCGAAGAUACCAGCUGGCUGCAACUGUUUAUUAAAAACACAGCACUGUGCAAACACGAAAGUGGACGUAUACGGUGUGACGCCUGCCCGGUGCCGGAAGGUUAAUUGAUGGGGUUAGCGGUAACGCGAAGCUCUUGAUCGAAGCCCCGGUAAACGGCGGCCGUAACUAUAACGGUCCUAAGGUAGCGAAAUUCCUUGUCGGGUAAGUUCCGACCUGCACGAAUGGCGUAAUGAUGGCCAGGCUGUCUCCACCCGAGACUCAGUGAAAUUGAACUCGCUGUGAAGAUGCAGUGUACCCGCGGCAAGACGGAAAGACCCCGUGAACCUUUACUAUAGCUUGACACUGAACAUUGAGCCUUGAUGUGUAGGAUAGGUGGGAGGCUUUGAAGUGUGGACGCCAGUCUGCAUGGAGCCGACCUUGAAAUACCACCCUUUAAUGUUUGAUGUUCUAACGUUGGCCCCUGAUCGGGGUUGCGGACAGUGUCUGGUGGGUAGUUUGACUGGGGCGGUCUCCUCCUAAAGAGUAACGGAGGAGCACGAAGGUUGGCUAAUCCUGGUCGGACAUCAGGAGGUUAGUGCAAUGGCAUAAGCCAGCUUGACUGCGAGCGUGACGGCGCGAGCAGGUGCGAAAGCAGGUCAUAGUGAUCCGGUGGUUCUGAAUGGAAGGGCCAUCGCUCAACGGAUAAAAGGUACUCCGGGGAUAACAGGCUGAUACCGCCCAAGAGUUCAUAUCGACGGCGGUGUUUGGCACCUCGAUGUCGGCUCAUCACAUCCUGGGGCUGAAGUAGGUCCCAAGGGUAUGGCUGUUCGCCAUUUAAAGUGGUACGCGAGCUGGGUUUAGAACGUCGUGAGACAGUUCGGUCCCUAUCUGCCGUGGGCGCUGGAGAACUGAGGGGGGCUGCUCCUAGUACGAGAGGACCGGAGUGGACGCAUCACUGGUGUUCGGGUUGUCAUGCCAAUGGCACUGCCCGGUAGCUAAAUGCGGAAGAGAUAAGUGCUGAAAGCAUCUAAGCACGAAACUUGCCCCGAGAUGAGUUCUCCCUGACUCCUUGAGAGUCCUGAAGGAACGUUGAAGACGACGACGUUGAUAGGCCGGGUGUGUAAGCGCAGCGAUGCGUUGAGCUAACCGGUACUAAUGAACCGUGAGGCUUAACCUU